rnacentral:ncRNA from 1 species
UGCUAUGGCUACAUAGUGCGGAACCAAAACCGCCUAAGUGAAGCGACUGCCAAGAAACAUAUAGUGGUUUUAUAUGUGAAUAAAGAUGAAAGAGGGGAGCCGAACUGAUACAGCUCAGUAUAAAUAGGGGGCGACCACCGUUAAACAAUACGAGAAAAACUGAUCUGUCUGGUAAAGUUCAGUAAUGUAUCUCGGUUGCCAAAAAACUAAGUGUUAACGGCAUCUUAUUCUAGCAACAGUUUCGGGUAAACAAAUUUGGGGAUAGCUGUCUGCGAAACCACCGCAGGCGGCUUUUC